rnacentral:lncRNA from 1 species
GUUGAAUUGCAUUAAAAACUAAAAAGAUUUUUCCUUCUGCUGUAAUGAUGUAAAUUUAAGCAUGUCAGCAAUGAAAUAGUGAGUGUAUAAACACAGGAGUGAAUGGGAUUUAGUUAGUUAAUUGGCUAUGAUAAUGUUUUAAAUUAUAGGCUCAUAAGUUAAAAGUCACUAUAAAACUGCAACAUCUGAGAUAAAAUGUAUGGGGAUUUUACAUUCAAAUACAUUUUACGUUUUACAAUAUAAAGGUUUUAUGGGUUCUUCUAGUAAUGUUUAUGCAUGAUGUGAUAUUUACACUUAAUUAAAUUAUUAGAUAAUAUAAAACUAUAAAACUGCUAUGUCUGGGGUGAAAUGUAUGGGGAUUUUACAUUUACAUACAUUUUACACUCAUCAAACAUCAAAAUGGUCAUAAAUGAUAUUAAAAACUACAUGAAAACAUUAUGGUUAUGAAUGUAGCUAUCAUAUAUCAUGUGAUUUAUGGUACUACAGAUUUUUCUAGUAGAAUGUAAAGAUGCUAAAGGGAACAGGUGAAAAUCUAAGAGUUAAAAAGACAAGAUUUUGAUUAGUUAAGGUAUGUUAAACAUUCAUUUUAUACCCCUCAAAUUCCAAAAGUCGGUCAUUAAGAGUCACGUGUGUUUUUUAUUUAUCUUUUGACAAUUAAAAUAAAUAACCUUUAAUAAAGAGAAGUAAACUGAGGAAACAGCGCCACCAAACUGAGCGAGGAUGCCAGAGGACCUGAUUACAACUAGCUGGAGUGCUUUUUCUGCUGCCUCCAGCCUCAUAAGGUUACCUGGAUAUUAUGGAUAAUAUCUUAUUUACAGGCUAAAUUGGAAAUCACGGAAGAAGUCACUAAAGAACUGCUACAUUUGAGAUCUUAUCAUGACCUCCACAGUUCCCCUGAACUGCUCCAUGUCCCAGUUUUGGGACUUUUGUCACCAGCUGCAAAGGAGUGCUGAAGUGAGGCAAUCUGUUAAUACUGAAGAUGUUAAGAAGCGCAGGAUUCACAAAAACAUCAGCAACGUCAUCUGUUAUAAAGCUGAAAAGUGAAAAAGUGAGGAAAACGCUGGAGCUGGACUAUUCCUUUAAGGCAAGGAUGGAGAGGAGCAGCCGCAGAGAGAGAGAGAGAGAGAGAGAGAGAGAGGUGUGUGUGUUGGGGUGGGUGGGGGUGUCCCAUGCGUCAUUAG